rnacentral:rRNA from 1 species
AUUCCCCUAGUAACUGCGAGUGAAGCGGGAAGAGCUCAAAUUUAAAAUCUGGCGGCUUUUUGGUCGUCCGAGUUGUAACCUGGAGAGGCAUUUUCCGCGUUGGACCGUGUACAAGUCUCCUGGAAUGGAGCGUCAUAGAGGGUGAGAAUCCCGUCCAUGACACGGACCGCCAAUGCUUUGUGAUAUGCCUUCGAAGAGUCGCGUUGUUUGGGAAUGCAGCGCAAAAUGGGUGGUAAAUUCCAUCUAAAGCUAAAUAUUGGCGAGAGACCGAUAGCGAACAAGUACCGUGAGGGAAAGAUGAAAAGCACUUUGGAAAGAGAGUUAAACAGUACGUGAAAUUGUUGAAAGGGAAACGCUUGAAGUCAGUCGCGUUCCGUGGAACUCAGCCUUACUUCGGUUUGGUGUACUUUCCAUGUGAACGGGUCAACGUCAAUUUUGGCCGGUGGAUAAAGGCAAAGGGAAUGUAGCGUUGCUUCGGUGACGUGUUAUAGCCCCUUGUUGUAUACACCGGCUGGGAUUGAGGACCGCAGCACGCCCUUGUGGCCGGGGGUUCGCCCCACGUACCGUGCUUAGGAUGUUGGCAUAAUGGCUUUAAGCGACCCGUCUUGAAACACGGACCAAGGAGUCUAACAUGCUUGCGAGUGUUCGGGUGGAAAACCCUUGCGCGUAAUGAAAGUGAAAGUUAGGAACCUUCUCGCAAGAGGGGGUGCACUGACGCCCGGCCCUGACGUUCUCUGACGGUGCUGCGGUAGAGCAAGUAUGUUGGGACCCGAAAGAUGGUGAACUAUGCCUGAAUAGGGCGAAGCCAGAGGAAACUCUGGUGGAGGCUCGUAGCGAUUCU